rnacentral:rRNA from 1 species
GUCAAGCUACAAAGGGCUCACGGCGGAUACCUUGGCACACAGAGGCGAUGAGACGUGGUUACUGGCGAUUAGUCUCGGGGGAGCUGUAGCACGCAUUGAAUCCGGAAUUC